CAAUCUGUCUCUUCCAUCUGUCACCUGCUCCUGUGGAAAAGCUUGGGAUGUUGACAUUAGUGAUCUGGUUGAGAGUGGCUAUUGGCCAGCCACAGUCUAUUUUGAGACUUUCUAUGCAGUGGAUUUGCUUAUCACAUAUGAAGAUCUCAAGGUUACUGCACCAGGAAUGUCAUGGCAAGCUUUUGUGGGUAUGCUUGAACAGCGCACCAAACUCUUUGGUCGGAGUGGCAAGAUAUGUGGAGACACCAUGCCGAAAUCAUUCCUGGAAUGGUCUUAUGCAAAAUUUGAGGUUGAGAGGUUGUCUCAGGUGCAUCAGUUUCAGUGCCCUGCAUGCACACCCUCUAUGUUGGCUGUUGCAGUAGAUGGAAGCCGCAAGCUUUACCGCUUUAAAAGCCAACCGGGACCUAAUGGACUAAUGGAUCCUGCAGUGUGUCUUGUCGUGACAACCGGUGGUGAAGAUGGUGAUGUAAAUCAUUGUAAUGGCCCAUGGUAUACUGCCGUGGAACAUCUGUUCACUGACUUGAUCACAAAAUUUCCACAGAGGAGUGAUUGUGCCGUGCUACAACAAGUCAAACAACGUCCUAAUGAGACAGUCGCUGAUUUUCUUUACCAUAUGGAAGAAGCGUUCAAUAAACAUUCGGGUAUGGAACGCCCCGCUGACUUUACUGUUUUGGGUCCCUGGGAAAAGAUGCUGUGUGGAUAUAUAAUGGAAGGACUUCUCCCUGAGAUCACAGCAUAAACUAAGACUUUAUGUUGGUUGGAGACAUGGGAUGCGUUUUGAGGAGCUGAAACGACAUGCUUUACACAGCGAUGACGUCAUCAACAACAGGAAGAAGGAAAAAGUGGACAAAAGAGAAACUGACUUGUAUACCCUGUACUACAGUACAAAUCAACAUGGUUCUUUUUCUCGAGGACGAGGCCGGGGACGCCGGGGCAGAGGUCGGGGAAGAGGACUGUGAUCCUGCUCCGAUGCUUGCCAUAACUGUGGACAGUUGGGACACUGGAAGAAUGAAUGUCCAGAGAAGCUGCAGCAGCCUGACAGCGGCAACUGACGGGGGGAGGACGGGACCCUGGAUCUGGCUGCCACUCACAUUGAGGAGGGGUCUCUCAAGGAGCGUGAGGUUUCACAAACACACACACAGUUGUAUGAUGAUACUUAUUCACAUAGGUUGCUUACAGAGGCCAUAAUACACUUAGAAGGUGGCUCCGUAGUUUUACCAGGCACGUAUUUCCAUACACAGAACCCUACUUUUAAAAGAAUGCCUAUGUUUUCUAUAAUGGUGAUGGGUGAAGAAAUGUAUUUUGUUGUUGAUUCAGGAGCGACACACUCUGUUUUAUCAGCUAAAUGUAUCAAAGAGUGGUCGUUAUGUUCAUUCUGUCUCUGCUUCAGGUGAAACAGUUAGGGAAAGUUUUUCUGUUCCUCUAAAUGUUCCACUCCACAGGGAGUGCAGUUAAAACAUUCUUUUUUGGUGUCUCCUUUGUGUCCUUUAAAUUUGAUGGGUAGAAAUUUGAUGUGCAGAUUGAAUAUUGCUAUUACUUCAAACCCUGAUGGACCGACAGUUCACACUCAAAAGGACUUUGACUAUGACUAAACUGCAGUACAUUGAGCCCCAUAUCAACCUUUAUAUGCACACAAGUGGAAGCUUCCAAUUGAUCCUGUACCUCAACAUUUUAUCACAGCAUUUACUGAUCUGCAUUGUACUUCACAUGUAUCUGAAGGACCUGAUUUUGACUAUGAGGACAGUUGGUACAAAAUUACAAAUGAGAGAGUGCACCUCUCAGACAUGUACUGGAAUGAUCACACAGCAACUUUAUCUGUGACUUUGACCUCUGAACAGCUGCAUUUCCUUCAAGUUUCUGGUUCGGUGCCGCAUGUAUCAUUGGCCUAGAAAAUAUGGAAUGGAAGGAUGUGGGGUUUUUUGUUAGACGUUGUCUCCUUGCCACAGAUUGGAGGGAGACAAAUGUCCCAUAUGUGUUUGUGUCUCCUUCUCAAAAUGCUUUCAAAAGACAUUGUCCCACUGUUGUUGCCUGUAAUCGUACAGUGCAACUGAUUUCACAUUCACAUCUGUUUUAGCUACUGCUUCUUCUGCGGAUGCAGAUCUUGCAAAGCUGCCUGAUUCAUUGUGGGCUGCUCACAAAUAUGAUGUUGGUCUUAUUAAAGAUUGUGAGCCAGUUGUUAUUAUUCCUAAAUCGAACUGCAGGCCAUGUCAGAAACAAUACUUAUUGAAAAAGGAAGCUUUGGAGGGAAUUUGUCCUGUUUUUGAUUCCCUCCUUAAAGCUGGGGUAAUUGUACCCUGUCCAAAUUCACCUGUGAGAACACCGUUGUUCCCUGUAAAACAAAUUAGGCCCCCUGGAGUACCUGACGAAUGGAGAUUUGUCAUGGACCUUCAGGCUGUCAACCAGUCUGUUGUGGCCCACGCACCAUCAGUUCUGAACCCUUCUACGAUUUUGUCACAAAUUCUGCCAGAAGUUAAAUAUUUUUCAGUGAUAGACCUAGCAAAUGCAUUUUUUUCUGUCCCUGUACACAUGGACAGUCAGUAUUGGUAUGCUUUUGAGUUUGAUGGGAACCCAUAUUGUUUUACCCGUCUUUGUCAGGGCUACACUGAAAGUCCGACUAUUUUUAACACAGCUCUUUGGCUGAUUUGACUCUGUCUCCUGGAACUGCCCUUACACAGUAUGUUCAUGAUUUAUUAUUAUCAGCAGGAUCAGCAGAUCAAUGUAGGAAAGAUACCUUAAAACUGCUUCAACAUUUUCAUAAAAAGGAUCACAAAGUUUCAACAUCUAAAAUGCAGUUUGUGCAGGAAGAAGUGAAAUUUAUUUGUCAUGUUCUCUCACAUAAAAGCAGAAAACUGUCCCCUCAGUGCAUUGAAGCAGUUCUGAAAAUCCCAAAACCUGUCACAAAGAAACAAAUGAUGUCAUUUUUGGGUAUGACAGGCUAUUGCAGAGCUCACAUUCUGAAUUACUCUGAGCUGGAAGUGCCAUUGGCCAGUUUAAUAUAUGGGCAGAGCCUGGCAGCUGCAGAUAAAAUUAAAUGGACAGAUGAGGCAGAACUGGCUUUCAAUGAUUUAAAAACAGCCCUGUCUUCUGCGCCUGCAUUGGCUUUACCAAACUCUGACAAGCCAUUUAUUCAAAUGGUGGAUGAAAAAUCUGGUUUCAUGUCAUCUGUGUUGUUGCAAUCCCAUGGUGAUAAAUUGCGACUUGGGGCUUAUUAUUCCAGUAAGCUUGAUACAGUUGCAACCGGCUUACCUGGUUGUUUGCGCGCUAUUGCUGCAGCUGAGAAAGCAGUGUUAGUGUCACGUGACAUUGUUGGACAUAAUCCACUGACAGUUUUUGUUCCACAUUCUGUUUCCAUCAUCCUCCUGGAACAAAAGACGUUUCAUCUAUCACUAGCAAGGUGGCUUAGGUAUUCCUCAAUAUUAUUGGACAUGCCUAACAUUACAAUUAAAUCCAGCCACACUUCUGCCUACUGAGGAGGAUGGUGAGAGUCAUUACUGCGCAGCUGUCUUGAAUGUUGUUUGUACCCCUCGUCCUGACUUGCAAGACACCCCUGUGUCUAACCCUGAUUUUGUUUUGUAUGUAGAUGGGUCUUCCUCCCGUUCUGCUGUGGGUCUAAAUCAAGUAGGGUUUGCAGUGUGCUCUGACUCAGCUGUUUUGCGCUCAGGUCCUUUGCCAGCGUACUACUCAGCUCAAACUGCUGAAUUAAUUCUCAUCCACAUAUGUGGAUGAGAAAUAGAUCCAAAGCUAAUAACUGAGGCUUGCAAGUUGGCAGAAGGAAGGACUGUGGCUAUUUACACAGAUUCCAGAUAUUCUUUUGGAGUGGUGCAUGAUUUUGGGGCAUUGUGGAAACAUCGCUCCUUUUUGAAAUCAGAUGGAAAACCUAUUUUGAAUGCUAGACAAGUGUCUAAUCUUUUGGAUGCUAUUUUGUUACCUGCACUGGCUUUCAAUGAUUUAAAAACAGCCCUGUCUUUGGCUGUAGUUAAGUGUGCUGCACACAUAGGACAGCCUGAUUCUGUUCUUGGGGUAAUGCAGCAGCGGACUCAGCAGCAAAGGCCGCGGCUUUGAGGCCUUUCCCCUCGGAUGAAACCUUUCUUUCUCUGACUGAUCCGCAUGCUGUCACUGUUCCUGAAAGGAGCAGCAGGCUAUAGCAACGAUGAGUUUACAAAAUAGAAUGGCUUUGGAUUACCUGUUAUCUGAGAAGGGUGGUGUUUGUCCUUUAAUUGGGGAACAAUGUUGAACUUUUAUUCCUGAUGUGUCUAACAACAUGACAAGUAUCCAUGAUAAAUUACAGGAGUUGCUUACGACUCAACAGAAAGAAAAUAUGGGUUCCUCUUGGAAUCCUUGGUUCUGGUUCAUUAAUGGUGGUUGGACAUCCUGGUUAAUAAAGAUUGGAGUAAUUCUUUUAUUUUUAUCUUUGAUUUUGAUGUUUCUUUCAUGUUGCAUUAUUCCAAUGGUUAAAGGAAUGGUAAUGAGACUGAUUAAUAUUUCCAUGCUGAAAGUUGAUAUGGAUGUAGACUUAAUUUCUGUUUGUAAUGACUAUGGUGAUGCAUUUGAGAUAACAGAUGGUAUGGAUAACAAUGGAUUUUAUAUUGCUUGAGAUGCUAUAAUGAUGUAAUAACUCUAAACUGUUUGGGGAGUUAAUACUGAUGUUCAGCAUCCUAGUGGUAUAUAUAGAGAUUUGGAGAUUUUUUUUUUUUUUGAGUGUUGUUAUCCUUAUUAUUUCAGCUUUGCUUUGCUAGUAAUUUGAGAAAGGUAGAUCUAAGAGAAAGGCCAUAAAAUAACACAUGUAUUUGUUAUAUAUUCUUUUCUUUUAUUAGUUUUACUUUGAUUAUAAUCUUGGGUGAUGGUUUUGUAGAAUUUUCUUUUAGUUAUGUGAUUAUCUUGUAUCUCAGAAGAAAGUGUAAUGGAAAAUUAUUUUAA